CACAAAGAAAAAAAAAACACUGAUACCACAUUAGGGUUUCAGGGUCUCUCAUUUCUUAUCCGCCUCCAUCUACUCUCUCCUUCUCUGGCGAUUCAAGAACUGCGCGAUUCCUCUUUAGAUCUGUGUUUGUUUCUUCUACAGAUCUAUGAUUCCUCUUCAGAUCUGCGCAAUUAGCCAGCUUCACACCCACCUUGUAGCCAUGAUUUCUGGUAGAUCUGAGCCACAUCAUUUUGCUGUACUUUUCAAGUCUUCCUCUUUCCUGAAGCCAUCUUCAUCACUAUAGAUGAUGAAAUAUCUCCAGCAAGUUAUUCGGUCACAUUAUUAUUUUUUUUUAUUUUUUUAUUUUUUUGCAACAAUGACGGUAGUCUUAUCUACUCUCAUAUCUUUGAUGUCCUAAACAGUUUGUAACAUUAGCUGAGUACACAACUUUAGAUCUUCAUCACUGUCGACGAUUAAAUGUCUCUGGUAAGUUAUUCGGUCACAUUGUUAGUGUUAAAAAUUGCUUAUUCGUGCUUUGUAAUUGUGUUCUUAUGUAUCUGGACUUUGAAAUCUAGGUUAUUGUUUGUAGGAACUGCUAAUCAUAUUUACGUUUUGGUAUUUGUUUUACUUGAAGGUUUUGAUGUAAAAGAAGAGAAGGUGUGUGUUGAUUAUCGGUUUUGACGUAAAAUAAGAAAAGAUGUGGGGGAUUUUAAGGCAAAAAGCCGGAGGAGUUACCGGAUUAUCCUCUCAGGGUUUGGAGAAUCAGAUGUUGAGGUUAAGGCAUGUAGCAUCAGCUAUGAGAAGUUUUGCAGUACUUUUCGAGUCUUGGCUUUCCUAAAGCCAUAUUCAUCACUGUCGACGAUGAAAUAUCUCCGUUUGUAACAUUGGUUGAGUACACAACUUUAUCUUCAUCACUAUCGACGAUGAAAUAUCUCCGUUUGUAACAUUGGCUGAGUAAACUUUAGAGGAUUUUGUACAUGCUAUUACUCUUCCUCUUGCAAUCGAGACUUCUUGUGAAGGUCUAGAAUGGGCUAGCUUUGGUGAGUGUAACAGGUAUCACCUAUAGGGAAUGGGCAACUGGAGCUUAGUCUGCUUCGCUUAUUGGAGAUUUCAAUAGCUGGAAUCCAAAUGCUGAUGUUAUGACCAAGAGUGAAAAAUGGAUCCUAUCGCAUUGACAUAUGGCUGCUGUAUUGGGCCGCCAGUUUCAGCUUCAUAGAAGGCCCAUGUCAGUUGGGGUUAUGCUUGUUUGCGGUCCACAGGUGGCAGUUGGCCUAGCAAUGGCUGAAACUAAGGUUCAAGGCCCAGCGCUGGUUUAAUUUGCAGAUUAAAGAUAGCCAGGUACUCUCCCGUGGGACGAUCAUUCUAUUCUCCUGAUCUGGGUCGUAGACAACCACUCGGUGAGGGGUUGGACGAUCAUGAUCUGUUAAAAGUUUUGCCUGAUUGAUUUCUUUGCUUGAUUUGCACAUUUGGGGUGUUGCGACUGGUGGACUAAAAGAUCGAAGCGCGUUCGCACAUUAGAGUUGGACCGGAUUCGUAAGUCCAAGAGUGUUAUUGUCCGUGAGCUAGAUGGGCAUAACCGAUUGCUUGUCAAGAUUAUGACAUCAGAACAGGAUCGGGACUCUCUGCUGGAGCUAUAGCUGGUAUUGUAAUGCUUCUGUCGGGACGAAUCAUGCUUGGUGUUGGCAUUGGCUUUGGUAAUCAGAAUGGAGAAGAAAUGUGAGCCAUUGAAAGAGGUUGGUUCCGCCAAUUUUAGAGCAGCUAGGCUGGUUAAAGAUAAGACUAAGGAGUUGUUUGCGGUCAAAUACAUUAAAAGACAAUCAAAGGAAAUGAGUGAGAAUGUGCGCCUCUAACAAGUUCUUUGAUGGCUAUGGUGGUGGAGCUUGCCCGAUAGGAGGUUGAUCUUCUCCGACUGAUGGUUUAGUGGUUGCAGUCUUUAUGAUCAACCACAUUGACAUCACUUGUAGCAUAUUUGUUGUUAAAACUUAUUUCGAGAAGCUUUCUUUAGAUAUUAUCAUUUCAUACCAUAAGAAUUGAGGUUUGUUAACAUGUUACAUACUUGUAUUGAAAUAAAUGUUAUUUACAUAGUUGCCUUCGGCGCAUCGCGCCGAUGUCAGUUUUUUUUUUAAUUAAUAUUACAUCUUUGUGAGCAGGUCACAGGUAGAGGUGGAAAUACCAUUUCAACCCACUAAUAUGAAAACGAGAUUGGAUUAUGGUACAUGGAUGUGUACAAACCGAUACAUUUAGCAUCUGAUAUCAUUAUUGUUAAUAAGGUUGUGGAUAAACCUACUUUUGAUAUUUUUGAGAAAAUUAUUUAUGGUUUAAA